rnacentral:SRP_RNA from 1 species
UGUGGGCUCGCCAACAGCGCACCUUGAACCCCGCCAGGGCCGGAAGGCAGCAACGGUAGGAGGAGAGCGGGUGUGGCGGGCCCUUUCCC